rnacentral:rRNA from 1 species
AAUAUAGGUAUCAUUAUGAUAUGGAGUAUACAAUUAAGUAUUUAAAGGGAUUCGUAAGGAUACCUAGCAGAUAUAUUUGAAAGGAAGUAUUUUUACUUAAAGUAUAAGUACUCAAUUUGUAGUCUUAUAACAAUCCUAAGGAAAACCAAUAUAUGUGGAUUACGUUGGGAAUUAAAACAUUUAAGUACCAAUAGGAAAGGAAAUCAAAUGAGACUUCUGUAGUAAUGGUGAGUGAAACAGAAUUAGCUUUCAAAUGAUCUUUAUUGAUUAAUAGCAAGUAGUAAUAAUAUUGUGGAAUUCAAUAUGAAUAUAAUAUUCUAAUUGAAUAUUAUUGACCAAAGAAGGUGAAAGUCCUAGUUUACUACAUACUAUCCAAAGAUUUGGUAGGUUUCUUGCUAAUAAAGAUUCUUUGUUAUUAAGUAAUGCGAAGACGGCUGCUUUGUAUGAAAUGUAGGGGAUACCAUUCUCCAAAGCUAAGUAUAAUAUAUCUAGCGAUAGUGAAGAGUAACGUAAGUGAAAGGUGAAAAGUAAGUGGAUGACUAGUGAAAUAGAUCUUGAAUUACGAAUCUUAUAAGCAGUUGGAGUUCAAUAGAAUUGAAUGACAACGUACCUUUUGCAUAAUGGGUCAGCAAGUUAAUCUUAAAUGCAAGACGAACAGUCUAAGCGAAAGCAACUCAGUAUAUUGUAAAUAUACAGGGGAUUAGUAUUUAGGAUUAGAUCCGAAACCAGAUGAUCUUUUCAUGGCCAGGUUCUAAUGGACCGAACAGCAAAAUGUUGCAGUAUUUUCUGAUGAGCUGUGAAAAGUGGUGAAAUGCUAAUCUAAUCUGGUGAUAGCUGAUAUUCUGCGAAAUCUAUUUUAGUAGAACAUUUAUUUCAAUAUUCGAAUCGGUAUAGCACUGAUCUUCAUUGUCUACUUAUUUAGUAAGGAUGACAUUAAUUAGGGGAUUAUAGAAUCCUACUAUUGAAGGUUAACCUCAAAAGGAUUCGAAUACAUGAUAAGUGGACAGUCUAUUUGUGAUAAGGUAAAUAGACAAAAGGGAAACAGCCCUAAUCGUGAAUUAAGGUACCCUAAAUAAUAUUUAGUGAAAUUAAGAAAGUUUGUUAUCUAAGACAACCAUGAAGUAAGCUUGGAAGUAGCUAUCUUUUAAUGAUAGUGUAACAACUCAAUGGUCUAAUUGAUGAUGAGCAUCGAAGAUUUAUCGGGUCUAGAUAUUUAACCAAUAUCACGAUAUAAUUUUGUUUUCUAUUUUUCGUAAAACAAAUUAUAAGGUAGCAGAACACUCAAUAUUUAGGUUGAAGAGUUGGAUUAAUCUAACUUUGACUAUAUUGAAGAGACAAUGCUGACAUGAGUAACGAUUAAGAAGUUAAAAUACUUCUCACCGUAUACGAAAGGUUUUCAUGAAAAAGGUAAUCUGUCAUGAUUUAUACGGAUUCUAAGGAAAAAUGUACGAAUUGUGUUUUUCUGAUGAAAUAGAAGAAUGAACUUCCUACCAAGGGACAGGAAAAACAUUCUUUUCUUGUAUACAAGAUAUCCGUACCCUAAACCGACACAGGUUCGUUGGUAGAGUAUACUAAGGCGUAGAGAUAAGGCUAGUGAAGGAACUCGGCAAAAUGCUUCCGUAAGUUCGACGAGAAGGAAGGAGUAAUCUGUUAAUAGAUUACUUAUCAUAAAAGUGGGGGCUUCGACUGUUUACUAAAAACACAGCAACUUGCUAUGACGAAAUGUAUUUGUAUAAGUUGUGAACUCUGUCCAAUGCCAACCGUUUAAAGAAGGUGAUUAUUGAAUUCUAAGGAAUUUAAUAAGUUACUAACUGAUGCGGUGGUCAAUGACGGUCUUAACCAUAAGGAUCUGAAAGUAGCGAAAUUCAUUGUCCAUUAAAUGUGGUCCUGCAUGAAUGAGGUAACGCGGCCCUGCUGUCUCCACUAGCUUCUCAGUGAAAUUGAAUUAGCCGUGCAGAUGCGGUUUGCCUUCCGGAGGACGCGAAGACCCUAUGCAGCUUUACUGUAAUUUGAUAUUGUUCUUUGCUAAAUCUAGUGUAGAAUACAAGGGAGUGUAAACGUCAGUGAAAUACCUUGAUAGAUUUUAGAAAAGAACUAACCUUUUAUGUAAGGGGACAUUAUCAGAAGGUCAGUUUUGCUGGGGCGGUAGCCUCUAAAAAAGUAUCAGAGGCCUUCAAAGGUAUAUUUGUAUUGGUCAGAAACCAAUGAAUUACUAAGAAUUCAAUAAAGCGUAAUAGUCAAAUAUGCUUGACUGAUAGACUGAUAGGUCGAUCAGAUACGCAAGUAGGAUAUAGUGAUCCGGUGAUCCAUAAUGGAAUGAUCAUCGCUCAAGAAAUAAAAGUUACGCUAGGGAUAACAGGUUUAUCGUUUGCAAGAGUUCAUAUUGUCCAAACGGUUUGACACCUCGAUGUCGACUCUUCUCAUCCUCCAGGUGUAGUAGCUUGGAAGGGUUCAGCUGUUCGCUGAGUAAAGAGGAACGUGAGUUGG